GGUACUUCAUUGUAGUUUUGAUUUGCAUUUCUCUAAUAAUUAGUGAUAUUGAACAUCUUUUCAUGUGCCAGCUGGCCAUCUGUACUACCAUCUUUUUAGUUUUUCCACCUCUUCACCUAUCUAGGGUCACACAGAAUGACAGCAAGAUGUGAAAAAAAUAAAGUAUUUCUUGGGAAGGAGAGAAAACAAGAGGACGAAUAAAGGGCAGAAAAAGAGGGAGGUUUCUUGUCUCAUUUGGCGGAGGACCAUAUAGCGUAAUUGUUAAGAGCAGGAACCUUCUGGAGGAAGGCUGCCUGGUGCAGAUAUGAGUUCUGUGUGCAUCCAUAUAUAAAUUUUGAAAGUCUUCACUAAGUUCAUACAUCCUUAAGUAAAUGACUAUAGCUCUCUUUAAAGGACUAGGGACAUUUUUACAAUAUGCAUUCACCAUGGUUUAUUCGUCUCCUCUUCCUGAGACACUAGCUGCCUCUUCACUUAAUGGGUCUAGGUGUGAAAACUGACUCUGGUGUGGAAACUGGUAGUUAUUGGGGUAACUACCUUCAGCCUCCUGACCAUCCAUCCAUCUUUGAUUUCUUUUCAUGAUUCAUGUAGCUUUGGACCCUUGUUGGUUCCCUGUAUAUUUGGGGACAUCAGGUUCCAUUAUUUAUUUCCAGGUCAGUCCUUUCCCUGCUUCUGAGUGACUGCCACUCAGUCACUGCCACUCAUUGUAAAAUUGUGUCCACCUGGCUUCUGAGGACUGAGGGUGCCAUCUGGUCUCUAUUUUUCCAGGUUCCUAUCAUCUCCAUCAUGUAGGUCUGUAUCCAGUUCUCCAACUCUGAGCCCUAACCUGCAGGAGAAAGUCAUGAAACUAUAAGAUUCUGGAAACAAUCCUGAUGAAUAUUCAUGAAGGAACUCUGGCACCAAAAUGCAAAGAAGGAGAAAAGUAACAAUAAAACCCCAGUAAACUGAGAAUUGAUAAGACAGGGAGGCACCUCAGAUGAUUUUAAGCAUCUGAAGUUUCUACCUUCAGUGAGCAGGUAGAUGGUGAAGUCCUUAACAUAGACGAAGUAUGAACAGAUGCAGCUCCAACUCCUUGAUUCACUGAGUACCACAUUUAUAUCCUUUUGGGUCGCACCUGCAGCAUAUGCGGCCAUGCUGUUCUCUGUUUAAUGACCCAACUUUAGAAUAUGUAUUGCUGAAAGGAACACUGAGGGAGAUCUUUAACAGGAGAAGACUUUUGAUUGCAUGCCCAGCAACAGGGGCCCUAAAAUUCAGGGUUGUCAUUAGUCCAUAAGGAAUCUUUACCUGAAUUUGACAAAAUUCAUGGAUAAGGCUCAAUGACAAAGAGCCUGGUUCGACACAUGGAAUAAAACUUCGUUGUUGCUCAUAAGGAAUCGAGUAGUAAUUGGAGGCUUGGAUAUGAAACUCUCCGGUGAUUGUUUAGCGCAUAGGACUUUUACAUGUGAGGAAAAGAACUGGCAAGGAUUAUAUAGUCCAUUUUUGAAACUGGAGAUGCAGCACUGAACUAGUGGACAUCUCUGCCCUAGGAGAGUUCACAUUCCAGUUGAGGAAAAAGAUAAGAGACAAACUGCAGACCUCUAGCAACACAUCAAAAGCGAGCAAAUUGCAUUCUCAGAUCACCAAAGGAGAAUAUACACCAUGAGGGAAGUAGAGAUGUCAUAUAAUUGGAAUCACACGCUAUAUAGCCUUUUCAGGUUGGUUCCUUUCACUUCAAAAUAUGCAUUUAAGAUUCUUCCAUGUCCUUUCUUGCCUUGACUCACUUCUUUUUAUCACUGAGUAGUAUUCCAUUUUAUGGAUGUACCAUAGUUUGUCUUUUUGAAUAUUGAACUACAUCUGAUUGCUUCCAGUCAUGACAAUAAUGGAUAGGGCUGCUAAUGAACAGGGUUUUCAUGUAGAUUUAGGUUUUGAAGUAAAUAUCUAGGCGAGUGAUGGCUAGAUUAUAUGAUAAGGUUUAAACUUGUAAGAAAUUGCCAGACUUUUCCGGUGUGACUGCCAGUUUGCUUUCCCAAUAUCAGUGAAUGAGAAUUCCUCUUUAUAUCUUUGACAGCAUGUGGUAUUGUCAUUUUAAAAAAUUUUAUUCAUGCUAAUAGGUGUGUAGUACUCUCUCAUUGUUCUUUAAAUUUGCCAUUACCUGAUGACAAAUUGUGUCAAGCAAAUUGUUAUACACUUAUUCCUUAUCUGUACAUCUUCUUUGAUAAGGCAUUUGCUUAGAUCUCUUGCCUGAUUUUUAAUUGUGUUGUUUGUUUUCUAUAUUUGAGUUUAAAGGACUCUUGGUAUGUCUUAGAUAGAAAUUAUUAACAGAUACACAUUUUCCAAAUAUUUUCUCCAAGUCUCUGGCUUGUCUUUGUCUCUCUUAAC